GCGCCGGUGGUGUAAGGCGAACAUCGCUGCCCGGAAAGCAGAAGAUGCGGGUUCGAACCCCGCCUGGCGCA
rnacentral:tRNA from 1 species